rnacentral:rRNA from 1 species
UGCANGUCGACGGGANUCUUCGGAUUCUAGUGGCGGACGGGUGAGUAACGCGUAAGAAUCUAACUUCAGGACGGGGACAACAGUUGGAAACGACUGCUAAUACCCGAUGUGCCGAAAGGUGAAACCUAAUUGGCCUGAAGAAGAGCUUGCGUCUGAUUAGCUAGUUGGUGGGGUAAAGGCCUACCAAGGCGACGAUCAGUAGCUGGUCUGAGAGGAUGAGCAGCCACACUGGGACUGAGACACGGCCCAGACUCCUACGGGAGGCAGCAGUGGGGAAUUUUCCGCAAUGGGCGAAAGCCUGACGGAGCAACGCCGCGUGAGGGAGGAAGGUCUUUGGAUUGUAAACCUCUUUUCUCAAGGAAGAAGUUCUGACGGUACUUGAGGAAUCAGCCUCGGCUAACUCCGUGCCAGCAGCCGCGGUAAUACGGGGGAGGCAGGCGUUAUCCGGAAUUAUUGGGCGUAAAGCGUCCGCAGGUGGUCAGCCAUGUCUGCCGUCAAAUCAGGUUGCUUAACGACCUAAAGGCGGUGGAAACUGGCAGACUAGAGAGCAGUAGGGGUAGCAGGAAUUCCCAGUGUAGCGGUGAAAUGCGUAGAGAUUGGGAAGAACAUCGGUGGCGAAAGCGUGCUACUGGGCUGUAUCUGACACUCAGGGACGAAAGCUAGGGGAGCGAAAGGGAUUAGAUACCCCUGUAGUCCUAGCCGUAAACGAUGGAUACUAGGCGUGGCUUGUAUCGACCCGAGCCGUGCCGAAGCUAACGCGUUAAGUAUCCCGCCUGGGGAGUACGCACGCAAGUGUGAAACUCAAAGGAAUUGACGGGGGCCCGCACAAGCGGNGGANUA